rnacentral:rRNA from 1 species
AGUGAACGCUGGCGGUAGGCCUAACACAUGCAAGUCGAACGGCAGCACAGUAAGAGCUUGCUCUUACGGGUGGCGAGUGGCGGACGGGUGAGGAAUACAUCGGAAUCUACUUUUUCGUGGGGGAUAACGUAGGGAAACUUACGCUAAUACCGCAUACGACCUACGGGUGAAAGCAGGGGAUCUUCGGACCUUGCGCGAUUGAAUGAGCCGAUGUCGGAUUAGCUAGUUGGCGGGGUAAAGGCCCACCAAGGCGACGAUCCGUAGCUGGUCUGAGAGGAUGAUCAGCCACACUGGAACUGAGACACGGUCCAGACUCCUACGGGAGGCAGCAGUGGGGAAUAUUGGACAAGGGGCGCAGGCCUGAUCCAGCCAUACCGCGUGGGUGAAGAAGGCCUGCGGGUUGUAAAGCCCUUUUGUUGGGAAAGAAAAGCAGCAGGUUAAUACCCCGCUGUUCUGACGGUACCCAAAGAAUAAGCACCGGCUAACUUCGU